AUCACUCUCCCAGGCCAAAUUAAACUCUUAAAGUGGAGAAGCCUAUACGCCAGGAUCUGAGCUAUAGAGUGACGCAGGGGUUUAUUGAAAAGGUUGUGUGGUUUGAGACACGCCCACUCUGGACCAACAAUGUUUUAGAAACCAUGCUGAUCCACUGGGAAUUCGAUCACACUAUUUUCCACUGGGACUAGAGAAACCCCGCCCCCUUUAAUAAGACUGAUGGACACAGAGGCCACACCUUCCUAACUGGGACAUACAGAAGAUGAAUCAUCGCGGGGAGCGCUCUGCCGAGAGGCUUCAGCUCGUCCAAUCAGCGGCCGCUAAGAACCUCGCUCGCUCAGCUCGAACAGGAACUCGACGAGGAAAUCCGCAAACACAGCACAGCUAACCGCUAAGCUAAGCAGAUGGAAAGGGCUCGUGGAUGUGGAAGGCACUUUUAGAAUCUCCUACUCAAGACGUUAGCGUUUUGCUUGUAGCUCACUUAUUUUUCAGGGUUAAUGUUCAGUGAGAGCUGAAUUCCGACACACACUUGGAACCAAAAUGACCUGGUGCGGAGAAAUAUAAUUACAGAGAGAGAUUUAUCUAAUACUUUAAUGAUGUAAGAAAUAAUAAAAUUAAUAAAAAUGUACGUAAAAAAAAAAAAAAUAGGGAGAGAUUUUACUCUGACAAUAAGCAUCAUCCACUAAUCCUGUUUUUAAAAGUUUAAUAAAAUGAAAUAAAAAGGCUUAAAAAAAUGAAGAAAAAUAUUUUUGCGUAUAUCAACAAAUUUCUAUGUUAAAAUUUGAGACAGGAAUAAAUUAUUUUUUAAUAUUGUUA